CCUACGGGUGGCAGCAGUGGGGAAUAUUGGACAAUGGGCGAAAGCCUGAUCCAGCCAUGCCGCGUGUGUGAAGAAGGCCUUCGGGUUGUAAAGCACUUUCAGUGGGGAAGAAAGCCUUGGGGCUAAUACCCUCGAGGAAGGACAUCACCCACAGAAGAAGCACCGGCUAACUCCGUGCCAGCAGCCGCGGUAAUACGGAGGGUGCGAGCGUUAAUCGGAAUUACGGGGCGUAAAGCGCGCGUAGGCGGUCUGAUAAGCCGGUUGUGAAAGCCCCGGGCUCAACCUGGGAACGGCAUCCGGAACUGUCAGGCUAGAGUGCAGGAGAGGAAGGUAGAAUUCCCGGUGUAGCGGUGAAAUGCGUAGAGAUCGGGAGGAAUACCAGUGGCGAAGGCGGCCUUCUGGACUGACACUGACGCUGAGGUGCGAAAGCGUGGGUAGCAAACAGGAUUAGAUACCCGUGUAGUC
rnacentral:rRNA from 1 species